UAAAACACCCACGGAAGUGACAGAGAAGAUUCAUGUGUGGAGGAGGCUGACUUGGUAUUUGCAUAGGUUCUUAACAAGCCAAGAGGAGUUGUAUUUUGAUGGCUCACAAGGCAUCAAUGCCUGUAAUAAUCUCCCACCCUGGCAUCAACAACAUAAUUUCAGUUCAAAAACUAGAAUGAACUAACAAUUGAACAGGGGGAUAAACCAACAGUUAAUGAGAAGAGCCAUAUGAUAAUUGAUCAUCUGAAUAAUCAGGAGCAAACUGGAGUUCUCAGAAGGAAGUUCAUGAAGAGAAAAAUUGUUCUAUAUUAAAGGAAUAGGAGAGAAAAUCUUCCUCCACUCCCACCCCAACCUCAAUCACAAACAAUUCAUGAAGACCUAACGGUAUUUUUUAAAGCAGUCUUCUUUUCUGGCCUUACCUUAAGUUUAUCAUUGUUGCCAAGAAACACUGGCCAUCUAGAUCCUUCAGAGUCCUGUUUGUCAUUUGUAUCUCCUGUCAUCAAGGUCUAGCAUUUCCAGACUAAACCAUAUUUACAAUACUAAUAUAAAAUUCAUUGCAGGAGACUAUUACCAUAAUUAAAUGGAUGCACCAGCACUAGCAGAAG